CGUUGGCUAAUCCGCCUAACCGUUUUUAACCCAUUUUGAUGCCUGAAAGAUGCCAUUGCAUCGCUAGUAGAUGGACCUGCGUUGUAUUAGCUAGUAGGUAGGGUAAAGGCCUACCUAGGCAACGAUACAUAGCCGACCUGAGAGGGUGAUCGGCCCCCACUGGGACUGAGACACGGCCCAGAUUCCUACGGGAGGCAGCAGUAGGGAAUCUUCGGCAAUGGGGGGAACCCUGACCGAGCAACGCCGCGUGAGUGAAGAAGGUUUUCGGAUCGUAAAGCUCUGUUGUUAAGGAAGAACGAGUGUGAGAAUGGAAAGUUCAUACUGUGACGGUACUUAACCAGAAAGGGACGGCUAACUACGUGCCAGCAGCCGCGGUAAUACGUAGGUCCCGAGCGUUGUCCGGAUUUAUUGGGCGUAAAGCGAGCGCAGGCGGUUAGAAAAGUCUGAAGUGAAAGGCAGUGGCUCAACCAUUGUAGGCUUUGGAAACUGUUUAACUUGAGUGCAGAAGGGGAGAGUGGAAUUCCAUGUGUAGCGGUGAAAUGCGUAGAUAUAUGGAGGAACACCGGUGGCGAAAGCGGCUCUCUGGUCUGUAACUGACGCUGAGGCUCGAAAGCGUGGGGAGCGAACAGGAUUAGAUACCCUGGUAGUCCACGCCGUAAACGAUGAGUGCUAGGUGUUAGGUCCUUUCCGGGACUUAGUGCCGCAGCUAACGCAUUAAGCACUCCGCCUGGGGAGUACGACCGCAAGGUUGAAACUCAAAGGAAUUGACGGGGGCCCGCACAAGCGGUGGAGCAUGUGGUUUAAUUCGAAGCAACGCGAAGAACCUUACCAGGUCUUGACAUCCCGAUGCUAUUUCUAGAGAUAGGAAGUUUCUUCGGAACAUCGGUGACAGGUGGUGCAUGGUUGUCGUCAGCUCGUGUCGUGAGAUGUUGGGUUAAGUCCCGCAACGAGCGCAACCCUUAUUGUUAGUUGCCAUCAUUGAGUUGGGCACUCUAGCGAGACUGCCGGUAAUAAACCGGAGGAAGGUGGGGAUGACGUCAAAUCAUCAUGCCCCUUAUGACCUGGGCUACACACGUGCUACAAUGGCUGGUACAACGAGUCGCAAGCCGGUGACGGCAAGCUAAUCUCUGAAAGCCAGUCUCAGUUCGGAUUGUAGGCUGCAACUCGCCUACAUGAAGUGGGAACCGUUAGUUUCGCCGAGCAUCAGGAAGUGGUAACAAGGUACCCGUACAGUUUGAUCAUGGCUCAGGAAGUCGUAACAAGGUAACCGUAGAGUUUGAUCUGGCUCAGGAAGUCGUAACAAGGUACCCGUAG
rnacentral:rRNA from 1 species